ACGCGUGGGGAGGAACCGCGGGGCACGCCGGGAGCAGGUUUCUCGCCACAUGGCUGCCAAGGAAGCAACGGUCACAGUUCGCCUCAUCCGUUCGUUUGAACAUCGAAAUUUCCGACCUGUAGUAUAUCAUGGAGUUAAUUUGGACCAAACUGUGAAGGAAUUUAUAAUUUUUCUAAAGCAAGAUGUCCCUUUGAGGACCAGCCUGCCUCCGCCACUCAGAAAUUACAAAUACGGAUCUGCAUAUGUGAGCAGUCCACCACGGAGCUCCACUUCUGACCUCCUAUACUUUGCAUAAUUUGCUAAAGUGCAUUUUCUUUUAAAGUAGGACAGAUUUUAAGUAGAUACACUAAAGAUUCUUCAUCAAGCUCACAAAGCAAAGCCAGUGAGACUGAAAUUGCCUUCUUCUGCGGAGAAGAUUAUGAGAGAUACAAGGCUAAUCCCACCUCGUCCUGGUGAGCGUGCGGGCACACCUUCCCAUCCCGCCUUCCAAAGCGAGCUUUU